rfam:Nicotiana attenuata strain TT scaffold08082, whole genome shotgun sequence.
GGAUGCGAUCAUACCAGCACUAACGCACCGGAUCCCAUCAGAACUCCGAAGUUAAGCGUGCUUGGGCGAGAGUAGCACUAGGAUGGGUGACCCCCUGGGAAGUCCUCGUGUUGCAUCCC